rnacentral:tRNA from 1 species
GGACCGCUAGCUCAGUUGGCCAGAGCGUCCGGCUCAUAACCGGAUGGUCCGGGGUUCAAGUCCCUGGCGGUCCA